rnacentral:rRNA from 1 species
AGAGUUUGAUUCUGGCUCAGGAUGAACGCUGGCGGCGUGCCUAAUACAUGCAAGUCGAGCGAACGGACGAGAGUGCUUGCACUCUCUGAUGUUAGCGGCGGACGGGUGAGUAACACGUGGGUAACCUACCUAUAAGACUGGGAUAACUUCGGGAAACCGGAGCUAAUACCGGAUAAUAUUUAGCUUCGCAUGAAGCAAUAGUGAAAGACGGUUCUGCUGUCACUUAUAGAUGGACCCGCGGUGUAUUAGCUAGUUGGUGAGGUAACGGCUCACCAAGGCAACGAUACAUAGCCGACCUGAGAGGGUGAUCGGCCACACUGGGACUGAGACACGGCCCAGACUCCUACGGGAGGCAGCAGUAGGGAAUCUUCCGCAAUGGACGAAAGUCUGACGGAGCAACGCCGCGUGAGUGAAGAAGGUUUUCGGAUCGUAAAACUCUGUUGUAAGGGAAGAACAAGUACGUUAGUAACUGAACGUACCUUGACGGUACCUUACCAGAAAGCCACGGCUAACUACGUGCCAGCAGCCGCGGUAAUACGUAGGUGGCAAGCGUUAUCCGGAAUUAUUGGGCGUAAAGCGCGCGUAGGCGGUCUCUUAAGUCUGAUGUGAAAGCCCCCGGCUCAACCGGGGAGGGUCAUUGGAAACUGGGAGACUUGAGUGCAGAAGAGGAGAGUGGAAUUCCAUGUGUAGCGGUGAAAUGCGCAGAGAUAUGGAGGAACACCAGUGGCGAAGGCGGCUCUCUGGUCUGUAACUGACGCUGAGGUGCGAAAGCGUGGGGAUCAAACAGGAUUAGAUACCCUGGUAGUCCACGCCGUAAACGAUGAGUGCUAAGUGUUGGGGGGUUUCCGCCCCUCAGUGCUGCAGCUAACGCAUUAAGCACUCCGCCUGG